UUCUAAUACAUAUUGAUGUCCUUAUGCUAUGAAGAAAGUUUAAGCCGAUUCCGACAUAAUUUUUUCAAGUUAUAAGCAUUUUUGCCAAUUUCUGAAAAAUACCCAAUUAUACUCUCAUGAUAUAUGAUAUCACUGCAGCCUUAUUUCCUAGUAUGUACUAUACAAAUCUACAAUGUAGUAUAGUAUUAUGAUAGUACAAUAGUCUCAUUGUAUCUUGUGUAGCAUUGAGGGUAUUGUGUUGCCAAGAGUCUUCAUCAAUAAAGCCAGUUUUCCUGGGUGUACUUGUAUGAUGGUUAUUGUAAUGUGUUGUCAUGUCAGACCAGUGAGGCCACUACAUGUAGACUUUAUAGUAUUAUUACUGCACAUUAUACAAGCAAUAAAUUAUCUAAUAUUGUACUAUAGUAUGUGGGUGUAUCAAAGGCACCACCAAGAGUUUAUAUAGUGGAGACCACAGCAGGGGUAGCUCGAGGGGGGAGUAGUUAGAAGCCAUCAUCUAACUGCCAAUUCUGGUAGUUAGACGACAGUGCCUUUCAUACACCCACACACUGUAGUACAAACCAGAUAAACUACAGCUGUUUCGUGUUAGGCUGGAUAUACACUCGAUGUUAAUGUUAGUUGAUUUUAGAAGCCUCAUCUGUAGUUUAUCUACAACAUGUACAAUGAUAAGACUAUGCAUAAGACAGAUACUACAUGCUAAUUAUAUUAUGACUGAUAAUGACUCACAUAAAAGUAAUGUAAUAUAAUACAAGGAACAUACAUAGACUCAUAAUUACUAUCAGUUCUUUCCCCUUUCCCUUCUUUUUCCCUAUCAUCUCUCUCUCCUUCCCCUUUUUGUAUACAGUUUAUUAAUAAUAGCAGUUGGAGACAUCCCCAGACUAUCAAAGAACGACGACGAUGAUGAUGAUAGUACUAGUGGUGAUUUAAAACUACUAUCAAUAUCCCAGAGGAGCAACAGUUGCAAAUAGAGAAGACAGAACAUACUGAUAGUGUAAUCAGGAGGGCACUAGAAAAGUAUGACAUUGCCCAGCAGCAUACUGAUAAUAUAAAGGCAUUCAGUUUGUACCAGAUACAUGAUAAGAAAGUUUAGAUGAAUGGAGGAUGAAUGGGUAGUUGUUAAUAGUACCAAGUAUUGUGUAGUUUUAUUGAAUAGUGUGUUAAUAAUAAGUUUGGAUGCACCAGUAUUAUGGAA